GGGCCGCACGCGCGCUACACUGACGGAGCCAGCGAGUCUAACCUUGGCCGAGAGGUCUGGGUAAUCUUGUGAAACUCCGUCGUGCUGGGGAUAGAGCAUUGUAAUUAUUGCUCUUCAACGAGGAAUUCCUAGUAAGCGCAAGUCAUCAGCUUGCGUUGAUUACGUCCC
rnacentral:rRNA from 1 species